CUACGGUCGCUCCAGUGAGGAAUAUUGCACAAUGGGGGGAACCCUGAUGCAGCAACGCCGCGUGGAGGAUGACGCAUUUCGGUGUGUAAACUCCUUUUAUAUGUCAAGAAAAUGACGGUAGCAUAUGAAUAAGCGCCGGCUAACUCCGUGCCAGCAGCCGCGGUAAUACGGAGGGCGCAAGCGUUACUCGGAAUCACUGGGCGUAAAGGACGCGUAGGCGGGUUGAAAAGUCAGGUGUGAAAGCCUACAGCUUAACUGUAGAACUGCACUUGAAACUCUCAAUCUAGAGUAUGGGAGGGGCAGAUGGAAUUAGUGGUGUAGGGGUAAAAUCCGUAGAUAUCACUAGGAAUACCUAAAGCGAAGGCGAUCUGCUGGAACAUUACUGACGCUAAGGCGUGAAAGCGUGGGGAGCAAACAGGAUUAGAUACCCUUGUAGUC
rnacentral:rRNA from 1 species